AUGCAACCAACUGACAUUAUUGUGUUUUUCUAUACGUUUUUGAAUGAUAAAGGGAGGGUUGUGGAAAGAUUCCUUGCUUUGCAUCAUGUCAAAGAUACAACGUCCGAGUCACUAAACGAUGCUCUUUAUGGCAUUCUUGAUCAUUAUAAGUUAUCAAUUUCAAGGAUACGGGGUCAAGGAUAUGAUGGGGCUUCAAAUAUGAGAGGUGAAUUUAAUGGUUUGCAGAAAAAGAUCAUAGAUGAAAACCCCUAUGCUUUCUAUGUUCAUUGCUAUGCUCACCGUCUGCAAUUGGUGGUUGUGUCUGUUGCUAGUAGUUGCUCGUCUAUUCAUGAUUUCUUUGAGUACACUUCCUUGAUUGUGACUACAACAACAACAUCUUGCAAGAUAAGGGAUGCAUUGACGGAGGCACAACACCAAGAUAUUCUGGAUAGACUUGAGAGUGGUGAGAUAUCUACUGGAAGGGGCUUGCACCAAUCAUCUACUCUUGCUAUACCGGGGGAUACUAGAUGGGGUUCACAUCAUACUACCUUACUUCGUUUGGAUCAAAUGUGGUCCUCCGUGUUAUAG
rnacentral:rRNA from 1 species